UACGUAGGGCGCAAGCGUUGUCCGGAAUUAUUGGGCGUAAAGAGCUCGUAGGCGGCUUGUCACGUCGGGUGUGAAAGCCCGGGGCUUAACCCCGGGUCUGCAUUCGAUACGGGCUAGCUAGAGUGUGGUAGGGGAGAUCGAAUUCCUGGUGUAGCGGUGAAAUGCGCAGAUAUCAGGAGGAACACCGGUGGCGAAGGCGGAUCUCUGGGCCAUUACUGACGCUGAGGAGCGAAAGCGUGGGGAGCAAACGGG
rnacentral:rRNA from 1 species